AGCUUUUCGAAUCCGUGCUGAGGUUUCGUCAGACACCAGCCGUUAGGGUUGAUCAGACUUCCAAGAUAAGUGAAGUU
rnacentral:pre_miRNA from 1 species